GGCAGCUGGGUACACCCCGAGAAAGGCCUGAGAGGACGAUCUUGGGGCCCAGAGACCUAUGUGACAGUGAGGGGAAGAACCAGACUUCAGGAGAGGGUUCCCGGGUGGGAGAGCCCUCCCAGCCUGAGCCUAGUGCUCAGGCCUGCUGGCCAGCCCCAAGCUUCCAAAGAUACAGCAUGCAAGGGGAGGAGGCACGGGCUGCGCUGCUCCGCCCCUCUUUCAUUCCGCAGGAGGUAAAGCUGUCCAUCGAAGGGCGUUCCAAUGCAGGAAAAUGAACCUCUUUCCCACCCCAGGACUGGGCUUUCUCCCCAGAGGUGAGCCUCACCGUGAGCAUUGAGAGGAUUUGCACAUGCCAAGCAGAGAGUGGCUCUCUUGGCAGUGAGAUCUGGGGGAAAUAGGCAUUAAGA
rnacentral:lncRNA from 1 species